rnacentral:rRNA from 1 species
UGGGGAAUAUUGGACAAUGGGGGAAACCCUGAUCCAGCAAUGCCGCGUGAGUGAAGAAGGCCUUAGGGUUGUAAAGCUCUUUCGCCCGCGAAGAUAAUGACGGUAGCGGGGGAAGAAGCCCCGGCUAACUCCGUGCCAGCAGCCGCGGUAAUACGGAGGGGGCUAGCGUUGUUCGGAAUUACUGGGCGUAAAGCGUACGUAGGCGGAUGCGCAAGUUGGGGGUGAAAUCCCGGGGCUUAACCUCGGAAUUGCCCUCAAAACUGCACGUCUUGAGACCGAGAGAGGUAAGGGGAAAUCCUAGGGUAGAGGUGAAAUUCUUAGAUAUUAGGAAGAACACCAGUGGCGAAGGCGCCUUACUGGCUCGGUACUGACGCUGAGGUACGAAAGCGUGGGGAGCAAACA